GUACGGGAGGCAGCAGUGAGGAAUUUUGCGCAAUGGGGGAAACCCUGACGCAGCAACGCCGCGUGGAGGAUGAAGUCCCUUGGGACGUAAACUCCUUUCGAUCGGGACGAUUAUGACGGUACCGGAAGAAGAAGCCCCGGCUAACUUCGUGCCAGCAGCCGCGGUAAUACGAGGGGGGCAAGCGUUGUUCGGAAUUAUUGGGCGUAAAGGGCGCGUAGGCGGUGCGGUAUGUCUCCUGUGAAAUCUCUAGGCUUAACUUAGAGUCUGCAGGAGAAACUGCCGUGCUUGAGUGCUGGAGAGGUGAGUGGAAUUGCCGGUGUAGCGGUGAAAUGCGUAGAUAUCGGGAGGAACACCUGUGGCGAAAGCGGCUCACUGGACAGCAACUGACGCUGAUGCGCGAAAGCUAGGGGAGCAAACAGGAUUAGAUACCCGGGUAU
rnacentral:rRNA from 1 species